rnacentral:sRNA from 1 species
AUAAAGAAAUUAUAGAAUCUUGUUGUGAAAGACGUAAAAUAUAAUGCCCAAACAAAAAAAACGUAAAUUGGCGGAUAAACUAUAAGUUCCCAAAAAAACAUAAGCUGGCGGAAAAAGAGAAUUCUUCGGAAUCUAGAUCCUAAAUAAAGAAGAUGAAGUAAACUCAAAUUAUAAUGCAGAAAAUAUCAAACCAAUCUCGAAAAAGGACGAUAGUACAAACUAAGAUCCAUAUUAACAAGACAAAAUCUUAAAAAAAUAAGAGAUCCAACAAAGCAGAAACUCCACUUCUUUUAACACACCUGCAAGUACGAUUGAUCAAAUCCAAAAUAACAUUUACCACCUCCUAUCACGUUGAGAGCCAAUCUCUCGAGAACCAAGGAUAUCAUAACCCGACAUGCAAGACCACUAAAAGAAACACAAACACCAUUCCAGAUACGACGAUGACCACCAAUUCGUCACUUAACGUCUAGAUAGAAUCCUUCAAAAAACAAUCAGAUUACGACAAAAUUGUAAAAGAAGGACAAGAAGCGAGGCAAAACUUCUCAAAACCCACCAAUCACAAGAUCACCAAUCACGAGUAAAGCCACAACUAUUUUAAUUAAAUCAUACAAUAUCCUAAAUUAGGCUUUUCUUUUUGAUA